rnacentral:rRNA from 1 species
GACGAGCCUCACGAACGUUAUUCGGAAUUACUGGGCUUAAAGGGCGCGUAGGCGGCUUGAUGUGUCAAAGGUGAAAUCCCUCGGCUCAACUGAGGAACUGCCUUUGAAACUGUCUGGCUUGAGGCCGGGAGAGGGUAGCGGAAUUCCCAGUGUAGCGGUGAAAUGCGUAGAUACUGGGAGGAACACCGGUGGCGAAGGCGGCUACCUGGACCGGUUCUGACACUGAGGCGCGACAGCGUGGGGAGCAAACAGG